AAGUCGUAACAAGGUCUCCGUAGGUGAACCUGCGGAGGGAUCAUUACACAAAUAUGAAGGCGGGCUGGAACCUCUCGGGGUUACAGCCUUGCUGAAUUAUUCACCCUUGUCUUUUGCGUACUUCUUGUUUCCUUGGUGGGUUCGCCCACCACUAGGACAAACAUAAACCUUUUGUAAUUGCAAUCAGCGUCAGUAACAAAUUAAUAAUUACAACUUUCAACAACGGAUCUCUUGGUUCUGGCAUCGAUGAAGAACGCAGCGAAAUGCGAUAAGUAGUGUGAAUUGCAGAAUUCAGUGAAUCAUCGAAUCUUUGAACGCACAUUGCGCCCUUUGGUAUUCCAAAGGGCAUGCCUGUUCGAGCGUCAUUUGUACCCUCAAGCUUUGCUUGGUGUUGGGCAUCUUGUCUCUAGCUUUGCUGGAGACUCGCCUUAAAGUAAUUGGCAGCCGGCCUACUGGUUUCGGAGCGCAGCACAAGUCGCACUCUCUAUCAGCAAAGGUCUAGCAUCCAUUAAGCCUUUUUUUCAACUUUUGACCUCGGAUCAGGUAGGGAUACCCGCUGAACUUAAGCA
rnacentral:rRNA from 1 species